CAGGAUGUCGGCAUUCAGCG
rnacentral:miRNA from 1 species